rnacentral:rRNA from 1 species
AACGAACGCUGGCGGCAGGCUUAACACAUGCAAGUCGAGCGCCCCGCAAGGGGAGCGGCAGACGGGUGAGUAACGCGUGGGAAUCUACCCAUCCCUACGGAAUAGCUCCGGGAAACUGGAAUUAAUACCGUAUACGCCCUACGGGGGAAAGAUUUAUCGGGGAUGGAUGAGCCCGCGUUGGAUUAGCUAGUUGGUGGGGUAAAGGCCUACCAAGGCGACGAUCCAUAGCUGGUCUGAGAGGAUGAUCAGCCACAUUGGGACUGAGACACGGCCCAAACUCCUACGGGAGGCAGCAGUGGGGAAUAUUGGACAAUGGGGGCAACCCUGAUCCAGCCAUGCCGCGUGAGUGAUGAAGGCCUUAGGGUUGUAAAGCUCUUUCACCGGGGAAGAUAAUGACGGUACCCGGAGAAGAUGCCCCGGCUAACUUCGUGCCAGCAGCCGCAGUAAUAC